AGUGAACGCUGGCGGUAGGCCUAACACAUGUAAGUCGAACGGCAGCACAGUAAGAGCUUGCUCUUACGGGUGGCGAGUGGCGGACGGGUGAGGAAUACAUCGGAAUCUACUUUUUCGUGGGGGAUAACGUAGGGAAACUUACGCUAAUACCGCAUACGACCUACGGGUGAAAGCAGGGGAUCUUCGGACCUUGCGCGAUUGAAUGAGCCGAUGUCGGAUUAGCUAGUUGGCGGGGUAAAGGCCCACCAAGGCGACGAUCCGUAGCUGGUCUGAGAGGAUGAUCAGCCGCACUGGAACUGAGACACGGUCCAGACUCCUACGGGAGGCAGCAGUGGGGAAUAUUGGACAAUGGGCGCAAGCCUGAUCCAGCCAUACCGCGUGGGUGAAGAAGGCCUUCGGGUUGUAAAGCCCUUUUGUUGGGAAAGAAAAGCAGCAGGUUAAUACCCCGCUGUUCUGACGGUACCCAAAGAAUAAGCACCGGCUAACUUCGUG
rnacentral:rRNA from 1 species